rnacentral:lncRNA from 1 species
UAGCUCAUAAGGAGCUUGGAAGAAUUGAAUACUUACUCAACUACUCAGAUAGUGUGGAGAUAAACACGAACACAGUUGAAAAGACAUCAUGCAAAUGCAUCUCAGAACUUAAGUGCCCAAACUGGCUUGAGGUACAUCAGUGAUCAAGCUAUGCAGUUUUAAGAUGAGGAUUAGUAUCAAAACCAUCCACUGCAGCAUCUCUCUCGGAAGAAGAUCGUUGAG